UACGGAGGGGGCAAGCGUUGUUCGGAAUUACUGGGCGUAAAGGGCACGUAGGCGGCGAAGCGGGUCAGAUGUGAAAGCCCCGGGCUCAACCUGGGAACUGCAUUUGAAACUGCCUUGCUUGAGGACGGAAGAGGAGAACGGAAUUCCCAGUGUAGAGGUGAAAUUCGUAGAUAUUGGGAAGAACACCAGUGGCGAAGGCGGUUCUCUGGUCCGUACCUGACGCUGAGGUGCGAAAGCGUGGGGAGCAAACAGG
rnacentral:misc_RNA from 1 species